GGCAACCCUGAUCCAGCCAUGCCGCGUGUGUGAAGAAGGCCUUUUGGUUGUAAAGCACUUUAAGCGAGGAGGAGGCUCUUCUAGUUAAUACCUAGGAUGAGUGGACGUUACUCGCAGAAUAAGCACCGGCUAACUCUGUGCCAGCAGCCGCGGUAAUACAGAGGGUGCGAGCGUUAAUCGGAUUUACUGGGCGUAAAGCGUACGUAGGCGGCUUUUUAAGUCGGAUGUGAAAUCCCUGAGCUUAACUUAGGAAUUGCAUUCGAUACUGGGAAGCUAGAGUAUGGGAGAGGAUGGUAGAAUUCCAGGUGUAGCGGUGAAAUGCGUAGAGAUCUGGAGGAAUACCGAUGGCGAAGGCAGCCAUCUGGCCUAAUACUGACGCUGAGGUACGAAAGCAUGGGGAGCAAACAGGAUUAGAUACCCUGGUAGUCCAUGCCGUAAACGAUGUCUACUAGCCGUUGGGGCCUUUGAGGCUUUAGUGGCGCAGCUAACGCGAUAAGUAGACCGCCUGGGGAGUACGGUCGCAAGACUAAAACUCAAAUGAAUUGACGGGGGCCCGCACAAGCGGUGGAGCAUGUGGUUUAAUUCGAUGCAACGCGAAGAACCUUACCUGGUCUUGACAUAGUAAGAACUUUCCAGAGAUGGAUUGGUGCCUUCGGGAACUUACAUACAGGUGCUGCAUGGCUGUCGUCAGCUCGUGUCGUGAGAUGUUGGGUUAAGUCCCGCAACGAGCGCAACCCUUUUCCUUAUUUGCCAGCGGGUUAAGCCGGGAACUUUAAGGAUACUGCCAGUGACAAACUGGAGGAAGGCGGGGACGACGUCAAGUCAUCAUGGCCCUUACGACCAGGGCUACACACGUGCUACAAUGGUCGGUACAAAGGGUUGCUACUCCGCGAGGAGAUGCUAAUCUCAAAAAGCCGAUCGUAGUCCGGAUCGCAGUCUGCAACUCGACUGCGUGAAGUCGGAAUCGCUAGUAAUCGCGGAUCAGAAUGCCGCGGUGAAUACGUUCCCGGGCCUUGUACACACCGCCCGUCACACCAUGGGAGUUUGUUGCACCAGAAGUAGGUAGUCUAACCGUAAGGAGGACG
rnacentral:rRNA from 1 species